rnacentral:lncRNA from 1 species
AGGUGGCGGCUACCUGAGGCCAUUGCUGUGCCUGUGUCCACGGAGCCACUGUGUUCUGAGAGCCUCUCACAGAGAUUCCAAUGUGCAAACGGCCCCCGGAAUGGAGAUGUCCAGUUCUGCUCACAGCCUUGGCAGACAGCCCAGCUGCUUUACCAACCAGCCAUCACCAUGCGCUGGUAGAAGACAGCUCGUCAACAGAUGGGGAACCUAAAUCACAGAGAAAUCACCCAGGGUCACACACUAGUACAACCAUGAAGGUACAAAGGCCUUAUCCAUGAGGAAAUUAAGGAACUGCCCAUCGGCCCUUGGUAGAUGAAAGGGAGCCAAUCAAAACCUAAUACGCACUCAGGUAUCCGAAUCAAGUAAAAGCAGAGAAUGAAAAUCAGAGUUCACUGUAACUACAGAAGUAUAAAUUGUCAGUACUAGAAAAAGGCCUUGGAUGUUGGCUAAUGCCGUUCACCAAAUGCCAGCUACAUGGUAGGAUUCCGUACUCUGGCCUCUUGGAGCAAUGCCAUGGGAUUCAUUCCAUCCAAUGAAUAACGAGAAGACAAGACAUAUGCCACUUCUAGGCUAAAUGAUUGCCAGUAGGAGACAUGAAGAGUCUUUCCCUCAGCUAGUGCAAUCUGCAGCACUACCUGAGUCCUGGCAUCACAAUGUGCCCUACGUGGUCCUCAGGAGACACAAGCGAUGAAUGAGAAGAAAGCCUGGCUGAUAGAAAGUGCUGUGGUGGCCGUGCCGGCUGAUACAAAGCCUUAAACACAAACGGAGGUAUGAGGACACAGAAGGAAAGGGAUCUACCUGUCCUCACAGAGCUGCCGAGGAAAGGCACAGGGGCCGAAGUCCGAGCUCCUGGGAAGGCGUCCAGUUAUCUUUCCUUUGUACAUCACUGAGCGUGUCUCAUGUCUUACAGCUCACCGCCUCUUCUAACCCGCAGCUUAUUCUGCUUCUCUAAAUUAAUGCCAAGUCCAAAUUCAACUAAUCACUGCCUAAUUUUUAUAGUCUCCUAGAGCAACGCAACCAGAAUGCAGCUAUUUCUAGAAGUACACGGAGAAGACGUGGGCGUCCAGAGGGAUGCAGGAGGGAAACCUUGCUGUAUUAUUUAUAGAAUCAUGGCUAAUUUAAUUAAGUUUUGACGGAAAGUGCUCAAUUCUGCAGACAGUCGCCACCCG